UCCCUCUCAGGGUUGCAGCUGGAGAGUUUCCAGUCCUCUACCAGUCUCGGCUACAGGAGGGAGAGUCAAGCAGAGUCCUACCCUUUCCAUUCCUAGCUUGGGCAGUGGCUAGUGAGCGGAAAGCAAUAUGCUACAAAU